UGUCGGCGGGUCGAGGACGGGGGCUGUAGUCGGUCCAGAGGGGUGGGCGGUGCGCCCAUGAGAGCGUCACGCGAGCUGGGUUCAGAACGUCGUGAGCCAGUUCGGUCCCUCUCCGGCGCGGGGGCAGGAAAUUUGAGAGGAGCUGUGCUUGGUGCGAGAGGACCGGGAUGGACACACCGCUGGUGUACCAGUUGUUCCGCCAGGAGCAUCGCGGGGUAGCUAUGUGUGGCAGGGAUAAACGCGGAAAGCAUAUAAGCGUGAAGCCCCCCUCAAGAUGAGGUUUCCCAUUUCUUCGGAAAGUAAGAUCCCUGAAAGAUGAUCAGGUAGAUAGGUUUGGAGUGGAAGUGUAGCGA
rnacentral:rRNA from 1 species